UAAAGCUCCUCUUUCCAAUUCCAGAUCGCUAAGAAAUGGUACAUUAUUACAUGUGUAGAGACAGGUGUUGAAGGCAAUAGUGAGAAUACAUGCUGCGAAAGUUAACAAAGCAAAGCAGACUUAAUGGAGAUUUGUUCUCUGCUUGGCAUGAUCCACCAGAGGGAGGACACAAUAUCAUGCCGGGAAUAUGGAUCUAUGUAAAGAAAAUCCGUAAAGAACUGCUAGGAGCCAAGUGGGAAGGACCCUACCAAGAGCUGCUGACUACCCCACUGGUAGUAAAAGUCCAAGAGAGGAAAACAUGGAUCCACACAUAAGAACUGUUGUAUUUAGGUCAAGAUGGGGAAAUUGACUGCAUUAUUAACUGUGUGCAUUUUGAGUGUUUGCUUACGAAUAACUUACCAACCCCCUCUACCAAAAGGGAGAAGAAUAAUAAAGAAUUGCUCGUAAAUAUUCUUUUGUAUAUGUCCUACACCUAUGCCAAAUAAGCUAAUGUUAUGUGGAGCAUAGCUAUUCACUCAAAACAAAGCAGCCCCUUCAAACCCAUCCCUUUUAAUGCAUCCAAGGCAGAAAGUGUAAUUCACCAGGACGUCCCCUCAAAGGAUUCAGUAUGACUGGCAUGGCAGUCCUCAGCAGGGACAUGUGUUUUUGGGGGCACAUGGCUGACCCCCAAGAGCAGUGGGAGUCAGUUACAAAAUGAGUGUGUUAGUGGGAUGGUUAUCAGACAAAUUACAACACCUCAUGAUAACACCCAUUCAUGGCCCUUGCUAACACCUCUGGAAUGGAAAGACCAUCAGGAGGGAUAUGUUUAUGUAAGACCCAGAUGAGAUGGCAGGAGAUGGGAUACAGCAAGUAUUCCCAAUGUUGGAAUGUAAUCCAGGGUAUUGACUCCACCCUUUUGACAUACCGAAACCUCACAAGCAAAGGUACUUUACCUACUUUGUUUGCAGCCUUAAAGCCUAGGCCUGUUUACCCUCAUCAUGGCACUUGAAUUAUGUCAUCCCCUUUGCCCACCACUCGUAUGCCGGACCUGAGAUACCCCACUAGUGAAGAUUUUAAAAGGGGCCAUUACAGAGACAGAGAGAUUCCAUACCAUCUUGGUCCCUUGGUAUAGGACCAUAAAACCAAUAAGGGAAUCUAUCAACAUGGUGGAUGUCUUAGAACAGGUGGCCAAUGACACUGCAAAGGCCUUGAAUAAAAUAAGCACUGAAAUGGUGGCCAUCCGUAAAACAGGAUUGCAGAAUAGAAUGGCUCUUGAUCGUAUACUGGCUGAAAAGGGAGACAUUUGUGAUCUAAUUGGGGCCAAAUUAUAUCCAAGAUAACUCAGAAGCAAGCAUCGAUUUAGCAACACAUAUACAAGAAGAGACAGACAAAUUAAAACAACUCCCAUCCUCCACUUUGUGGAUUUGGGCAAAUGGCUGGUUGGGAUCUUUGGGAAAUUCCCUGGUGCGAGGUAUGGUGUUAUUCGUUGUUUUAAUUCUAAUUUUAUGAUGUUUGCUUCUAUUAAUCAAAUGUUGUUGCCAACAGGUGGCUUCUGCCAUAGUCAUGGAGGUUAGGGUCCCGAGAAACAAGCAACCUGCGAGGCAAUUGUUCUUGCUUAAAAGUCCUAUCUCAUAUGUGUAACUACUUAUUGCAUACUUUGUGAUUCGCUUAAGAGGGAAUUAAAGAGGGGAUUGUUAGGGCUGCCCACAACUAAUGCUGACAGUAACGUUUCUCAUGGUUGCUGAAUGUGUAACCCUUCUCUCAAGAUCAUAGAUGAUAACAUGUAACACUUGAUAGACAAUAGACAAUAGACAAUAGGUGCAGGAGUAGGUCAUUCGGCCCUUCAAGCCAGCACCACCAUUCAUUAUGAUCAUGGCUGAUCAUCCACAAUCAGUAUCCUGUUCCUGCCUUAUCCCCAUAACCCUUGAUUCCACUAUCUUUAAGAGCUCUAUCUAUCUCUUUCUUGAAACUAUCCAGAGCUCUGUACAUAGCUGCUAACAAUAGCAGCAGAAUUAGUAGUUUCUAUUGAAUUAGUUAAUCAAUCUGUUAAAUACUAAAAAGAAUCACUAAAAAAAUUCAAACCAAUUUCAUACAGUAAAAAUGCACCCACCACUUAUCUUUGCAUAGAGGAAUGCAGAUUGAACAUUAAGGUGAAAACCACAUAACUUUGUUGGAACUGAAACAUUUCUAAUUAAUUGGCACUUCUGGCAAAUGUUACUUGAAUCCUGUAAGCAUCAAGAAGAAAGAUAAGAGAGGACAUUGUGAAGGACUGUGAUUGGGCCAUGAGCUUGUCCAUCUCAGUGAAGAUGUUGUACGAGACAGCCAAUUACAAAGAGACAACUCCAUUCUGCUGACCUAGCAUAAUCAAAAGGGUGGGGUGGGGUGGUGUGCUCUGA